GAUGUUUCUUUUGGGAGGCCCGUAACGAAUGAAAGUCAGUUUUCACUUUCCCUCAUACACUUCUGCAACCUGUGGUGGAAAUCCGCAUAUAAAGCUGUGUGCAAGCAGAUUCUGCGAUGGUAGGGCCAAUUUCCGAAGUGUGGAUGCACUUCACAGUCGGGAAGACCAUUGGCGAGAAACGGGUACCCGCUGUCUGUAAGCACUGCAACGGCAGCUACGCUUUUCCCACUGCGACGUCUCAACAUGAUGAAGAAAGCUACAGAUGAAGCCAGUGAUAGUGACUGUGAGUAAGAGCCAAGUCUCGCAAGAGAUACUUCCAAGACUCGGAGCAAGUAACAGCGCAGAAGCCACUCCACAGGGUGAUACUUUGCAAGAAGCAGACGGACCCUUACCGUGGCUAGGGAAUGUUGUUUCUUGGAAACUUUUCCAACAAUGAAGAUCUGCUCUUUUGUGAGGCCAAGUGCAGUGUACACUGCAAUGUCCUUGGCAGAACCAUAAGCGGCGUGGUAGACAAUCUCUGCCUGAUGUGAUAAAAAGACAAAAA